ACGGAAGGCAGCAGUGGGGAAUAUUGCACAAUGGGGGAAACCCUGAUGCAGCGACGCCGCGUGAGUGAAGAAGUAUUUCGGUAUGUAAAGCUCUAUCAGCAGGGAAGAAAAUGACGGUACCUGACUAAGAAGCCCCGGCUAACUACGUGCCAGCAGCCGCGGUAAUACGUAGGGGGCAAGCGUUAUCCGGAUUUACUGGGUGUAAAAGGAGCGUAGACGGCUUUGCAAGUCUGAAGUGAAAGCUCGGGGCUCAACUCCGGAACUGCUUUGGAAACUGUAGAGCUAGAGUGCAGGAGAGGUAAGUGGAAUUCCUAGUGUAGCGGUGAAAUGCGUAGAUAUUAGGAGGAACACCAGUGGCGAAGGCGGCUUACUGGACUGUAACUGACGUUGAGGCUCGAAAGCGUGGGGAGCAAACAGGAUUAGAUACCCUGGUA
rnacentral:rRNA from 1 species